rnacentral:misc_RNA from 1 species
GAUGAAGAACGCAGCGAAAUGCGAUACUUGGUGUGAAUUGCAGAAUCCCGUGAACCAUCGAGUCUUUGAACGCAAGUUGCGCCCGAAGCCAUUAGGCCGAGGGCACGCCUGCCUGGGCGUCACACGUCGUUGCCCCCCCAUCUACUCCUUCGGGAUUGUGGGGGGCGGAUGAUGGCCUCUCGUGCGCCUCGUCGCGCGGUUGGCCUAAAUGCCAAGUCCUCGGCGACGCACGCCACGACAAUCGGUGGUUGCGAAACCUCGGUUGCCUGUCGUGUGCGGUCGUCGCGCAUCGAGGGCUCGAAAAAAUUGCCGGGCUUCGGCUCGACUUUCAACGCGACCCCAGGUCAGGCGGGGUUACCCGCUGAAUUUAAGCAUAUCAAUAAGCGGAGGA